rnacentral:lncRNA from 1 species
AACACACUAGAGUUUCUCUCCUAGGUAUCACCUAGCUCUCCUGCUCUAUUUCUGUCUUCCCACCUUCCUCCCCUCUCCUUCUCUGGCCCCAUCCCUGCCCAGUCUCUGUAAAGUAAAUGAAGCAUUUGAAGUAUCUACUUUCAUACAAAGUAGCUUGUUAAUACCACUAGUUGAGAAUAAAGCCUCUACCACAAUUUUUUGAGCCAAAUUCGUAGCAAGCUUUAUUAAAUACCAGCCAGGAACAUGGACACUAGCCAGGUCCAUUCCCAGAGAAUGGCUGAGAAUUAUGUUAGUCAGGUGCUUAUGCAGGCAAACCCCACAAGGCUACGUACUUCCUGCCUCUGUCCAAUUGGGCCAAGCAUACAUUCUGAUGUACUUCCUGCGUUCACAUCUACCGCCUGUGUGUGAUCAAGCACAUCCUGUGUUGUUGAGACAACCAACCUUGUUUAUAGAGGUGAAAACAGGUGGCUUUGUUAUCUUAUAAGAGCAGCCUCCAGCAUUCCAGAAAGUCAUCUGUCCUUGGGCAAGUGGGGUUUGCAGGUUAAAGGCUCUUUUGUUUUAUGGAUUGCUGAAGCACAAUACGUUAAACCUGAAACGUAACUUUAGCUCUCACAUUUCCUUAUUCCAAGGGAGGUUGCAAAGCACAAUGAUGCUAUGCAGGGCACUCAUGAAAAUAUAUAUGGCCUAGGACCUGGAACACUAAGCUACCCUGCCCCAGUCCCCAGCUGCCUGGACUUCCUACCUAAGGAUACCUAGACCUAUUUAUUUUCUUUGAGGACAGGAUGCCUGUGAGCCAGUUAGCCCUAACAUGGCUGCCAGAGUAGGGAGAGACACCAUCACAAUUCAUUUACAUGUCAAAUGUCUUCCCCACCCCAGGACCACAAGGUUAACAACUGCCACCAGGCAACUGGGAAUAGCUCUGACAGGAGCAAAUAGCAAAGCAGGCACCGGUCACUGCCAGAAUACCUGGGAUUCUUUGUCCUUUCACAGAGGAGCCCUGAAUAUUCACCCUCCCAGAUGCCAUGUCACACACAGAGAAUAUCAUUGGUGGUGGUGGCUAUCUUCCCGUGCUAGUUUUAUUGGCAUCUCUUCCAUGAGCUAGGCUCUCUCAUUGGCACUGACUCAUGUUGGCAAAGAGAAAGAGACAAAAAACAAGUCAACAGAGAGAGUGAAAUACCAUCUCUCCCAGAGGGUUGGUUGCUGGCCAAGAUGCUCAGGAGUGCCGCUCACUGGACACGAGGACACGCAAGAACUGCGGGAUACUCCCUGCCUCUUGAAGAGUGUCCAGGGCCUUCCCAGGAAACAAAACAAGAGAAAAGUUUCAGGCCUAGGGUCCCAAAAGAACCUGAGCUUGAGGCUCAGCUCUUACAUCUCAGCCAUAGCUGUUAGAGUAAGAUAAUACUCAUUCUUCCCACAUCUGCUUUGUUUGUUUUGUAAAAUGAAAUCGAUGGCCAUACCAUCCCUCCGGGGUCUUUGAACGAUGCACAUGAGAUGAGACAGGACAGGUGCCUGCCACAGUACCUUACCAGCACUGUGCACCCAGCAACACUGCUGUUAUAUCUCGUGGGACGUGUGAUAAGCCAGGGAGAGGGUAGGAUGGUGAUGAUGAUAUUUUAAUUAUUAUCUUCAAAAUCACCAGAGGAAAAAGCUUAAACUUCAAAGGGCACUCCGGAGAAGUUAGCCUCCCAGAAAAAAAUUGGCUUCAGAUUCUCUGGGCUUAACUAGUUGGAAAUUAAACCAGCCAGGCAUGGUGGCACAUGCUCUCUAGAGGCAGAGACAGGUGGAUCUCUGUGACUUUUGUGGCCACCCUGGUCUACAUAGUAAGUUCUAGGCUAGCCAAGACUAUAUAGUGUAAUUCUGUCUAAAAAAGGAAAGGAAAGGAAAGGAAAGGAAAGGAAAGGAAAGGAAAGGAAAGGAAAGGAAAGGAAAGGAAAAAAAGGAAAGAAAAGAAAGAAAAGGGAAAGAUAAGAAAGAUUAAAACACACUUUCCACUUUAGUUAGUAUAUAACUAUGGAAAUGUUUUAUUUUCAGUGUGAUGGGUUUAACUCUUUUAUUUUGAAGCUCUUAGAAUGAAAUCUAGCUAGGUAAGUAGUCUAUUGUUCAGACAUAGAUCUGCUUCUUAACUAUUCUGUUAUUGCUUUGGGGCUGUGUACCUUUUUGUUUGCUUGUUUGUGCUUUAAACAAAGAGUAUGUCUCGCUUUUUUAACUUUGCUACUUGACCAACAUUAUAAUUUUAUUCCCCUUUUAAAGUAUUAUCAGUUCCUUAGCUAUAAAAUUAGACUCUAGAUCACUCAUGAUAACACAUGCAACGGUAUUUUACAAAACAGUAAAAUGACCUUAGAUGCUAAGUUUCAAUGACUCCAGGGUGUGUGGUACCUGGGCUCUCUGCUUAGGGCAUUCAUAAAAUGAAGCCGACUUCCAAUCUGAAAGUAAUAUAAUAGCAGUAGGAUUUGUCCUUCUACAUUUACAUUUUAUUUUCUGAAAGAAGAUGAAGCUGUAGGAAAGUAUGCUGAUGAGAUAGAAAAAGGUCAUGUGAGGAAGGAAAAGGUCACGUGAGGAAAGGUAUGUGGAAAACUGAUAUGUCAGAAACUUGAUGAAACCCUCCCCGCUUCACAGAGAGACACAUGAUGAAGGAUGGAAAAUGUUUCCUCAUGACUGUCACGGGCCCCAUCACAGACUCCGGUCUCUUAGAUCCCAGACAGUGAACUAUUUCUGAGUCAACAGGGAUAACCGUUUGGUAUUUUAGCUCACUGCUCCCCUGUUCCAGAAUUCCCGAAGUGUGGUUCAGCUUCUGGUGUGGAGCUGUCUUCUUUAUCAGGAAAUGACACAGCUCCCAUGACCCUUCUCUAGCAGGUCUCUGCCUGUCCCUGUAAUGUCUGCAGGCCAGGGUGAGCAUCUCUCCUACAGCAAACACUCACUCGGCCAUCAUUUCUCCUUUAUUCUUUCAUCCGUUUGAAUCCUACCUGGCUCUGGGGUGUUUUGUGUGUGUGUGUGUGUGUUUUGUUUGUUUGUUCGUUUCAGUUUUUUUUGUUUUGUUUUGUUUUGGUUUGGUUUGGUUUGGUUUUUGGUUUUCCCCAUCUGUCUACCUGUUGUCUCAGCACCCAGGAAUAUCUACUGAGAUCUUCAUUGUUGUUAGCGACAGGCUCCCAGAUUUCCUCCCUCAAUGUCCAGGUGCCUUUGGCUCUUCAGUUGUGGUAACUUCUGCACCAACUGGAGUGGUUAGCUUCCUUGUA